CCACACACAUUCAGCACCCACAGACAUACAGCACCCACAGACAUACACAGCACCCACACACAUACAGCACCCACACACAUACAGCACCCACAGACAUACACAGCACCCACACACAUACAGCACCCACAGACAUACACAGCACCCACAUACAUUCAGCACCCACAGACAUACACAGCACCCACACACAUACAGCACCCACAUACAUUCAGCACCCACAGACAUACAGCACCCACAGACACACAGCACACACACAGCACCCACACACAUACAGCACCCACACACAUACAGCACCCACAGACAUACACAGCACCCACAGACAUACACAGCACCCAC